AGCGAACGCUGGCGGCAGGCCUAAUACAUGCAAGUCGAACGCUUCCUACCGGUGCUUGCACCGGGAAAGAAGAGUGGCGGACGGGUGAGUAACACGUGGGUAACCUACCCACAAGCGGGGGAUAACAUUCGGAAACGGAUGCUAAUACCGCAUAGAUCUUUUUGUCUCCUGGCAGAAAGAAGAAAGACGGUUUCGGCUGUCACUUGUAGAUGGACCCGCGGUGCAUUAGUUAGUUGGUGAGGUAAUGGCUCACCAAGACGAUGAUGCGUAGCCGACCGGAGAGGGUGAUCGGCCACACUGGGACUGAGACACGGCCCAGACUCCUGCGGGAGGCAGCAGUAGGGAAUCUUCCGCAAUGGACGAAAGUCUGACGGAGCAACGCCGCGUGAGUGAAGAAGGUUUUCGGAUCGUAAAACUCUGUUGUUAGAGAAGAACAAGGAUGAGAGUAACUGUUCAUCCCUUGACGGUAUCUAACCAGAAAGCCACGGCUAACUACGUGCCAGCCGCCGCCGUAA
rnacentral:rRNA from 1 species